AAAAAAAUAAACCCUAAAUUUUCGUGCCAACAUUUGACUGUUUGUCUUAUAUGAAAUUUUUUUAUAAUUAGUAUUUUCAUUGUUAUUAGAUGAUAAAACAUGAUUAAUAUUUUAUGCGUGAUUUAUCUUUUUAAUUUUUUUUAUAAUUUUUUCAAAUAAGACGGACAGUCAAACAUUGGACGCGGAAACCAGGGUUUGUCUUUUU
rfam:Oryza nivara chromosome 1, whole genome shotgun sequence.